rnacentral:misc_RNA from 1 species
GAUGAAGAACGUAGCGAAAUGCGAUAAGUAGUGUGAAUUGCAGAAUUCAGUGAAUCAUCGAAUCUUUGAACGCACAUUGCGCCCCUUGGUAUUCCAUGGGGCAUGCCUGUUCGAGCGUCAUUGCUGCCCUCAAGCACGGCUUGUGUGUUGGGCCCCGUCCUCCGAUCCCGGGGGACGGGCCCGAAAGGCAGCGGCGGCACCGCGUCCGGUCCUCGAGCGUAUGGGGCUUUGUCACCCGCUCUGUAGGCCCGGCCGGCGCUUGCCGAUCAACCCAAAUUUUUAUCCAGGUUGACCUCGGAUCAGGUAGGGAUACCCGCUGAACUUAAGCAUAUCAAUAAGCGGAGGA